CCUACGGGUGGCAGCAGUGAGGAAUAUUGGUCAAUGGGCGGGAGCCUGAACCAGCCAAGCCGCGUGAGGGAAGAAGGUACAGCGUAUCGUAAACCUCUUUUGUCAGGGAACAAAGGCGGGGACUAGUCCCCGGCUGAGGGUACCUGAAGAAAAAGCAUCGGCUAACUCCGUGCCAGCAGCCGCGGUAAUACGGAGGAUGCGAGCGUUAUCCGGAUUUAUGGGGGUUAAAGGGUGCGCAGGCGGCCUGUUAAGUCAGCGGGAAAAGCCCGGGGCUCAACCCCGGCGAGCCGUUGAAACUGGCGGUCUGGAGUUGGAGAGAAGUACGCGGAAGGCGCGGUGUAGCGGUGAAAUGCUUAGAUAUCGCGCAGAACCCCGAUGGCGAAGGCAGCGUACCGGCUCCACACUGACGCUGAGGCACGAAAGCGUGGGUAUCGAACAGGAUUAGAUACCCCUGUAGUC
rnacentral:rRNA from 1 species